UACGUAGGGUGCAAGCGUUGUCCGGAAUUAUUGGGCGUAAAGAGCUCGUAGGCGGCUUGUCGCGUCGACCGUGAAAACUUGGGGCUCAACCCCAAGCCUGCGGUCGAUACGGGCAGGCUCGAGUUCGGUAGGGGAGACUGGAAUUCCUGGUGUAGCGUUGAAAUGCGCAGAUAUCAGGAGGAACACCGGUGGCGAAGGCGGGUCUCUGGGCCGAUACUGACGCUGAGGAGCGAAAGCGUGGGGAGCGAACAGG
rnacentral:rRNA from 1 species